UUCGGUGGUCAUAGCGAUGGGGUAACGCCCGGUUACAUUCCGAACCCGGAAGCUAAGCCUGUCAGCG
rnacentral:rRNA from 1 species